AGAGCGAACGCUGGCGGCAGGCCUAAUACAUGCAAGUCGAGCGCACCUUCGGGUGAGCGGCGGACGGGUGAGUAACGCGUGGGAAUGUGCCCUUUGGUACGGAACAACUGAGGGAAACUUCAGCUAAAUACCGUAUGUGCCCUUCGGGGGAAAGAUUUAUCGCCAUUGGAGCAGCCCGCGUUGGAUUAGGUAGUUGGUGAGGUAAAGGCUCACCAAGCCUACGAUCCAUAGCUGGUCUGAGAGGAUGAUCAGCCACACUGGGACUGAGACACGGCCCAGACUCCUACGGGAGGCAGCAGUAGGGAAUCUUGCGCAAUGGGCGAAAGCCUGACGCAGCCAUGCCGCGUGAAUGAUGAAGGUCUUAGGAUUGUAAAAUUCUUUCACCGGGAAGAUAAUGACGGUACCCGGAGAAGAAGCCCGGCUAACUUCGCGCCAGCAGCCGC
rnacentral:rRNA from 1 species